rnacentral:rRNA from 1 species
GAAGUCUAACAUGUGCGCGAGUCAUUGGGUGGUAAAACCUAAAGGCGGAAUGAAAGUGAAGGAAGCUUUGCUUUCCGAGGGAGGAUGGGGACGUCGGCUCAAAGGGCGGUCCCCCGCACUCCCGGGGCGUCUCACUCUCAUUGCGAGAAGAGGCGCACCCAGAGCGUACACGUUAGGACCCGAAAGAUGGUGAACUAUGCCUGGUCAGGACGAAGCCAGGGGAAACCCUGGUGGAGGUCCGUAGCGAUUCUGACGUGCAAAUCGAUCGUCAGAGCUGGGUAUAGGGGCGAAAGACUAAUCGAACCAUCUAGUAGCUGGUUCCUUCCGAAGUUUCCCUCAGGAUAGCUGGUGCCCGUGUGAGACGAGUCUCAUCCGGUAAAGCGAAUGAUUAGAGGCCUUGGGGCCGAAACGACCUCAACCUAUUCUCAAACUUUAAAUAGAUGAGAUCUCCGGCUUGCUUGAAAGUGAAGCCGGAGACUCGGAUCAGGGUGCCCAGUGGGCCAAUUUUG